CCUACGUGAGGCAGCAGUGGGGGAUAUUGGACAAUGGGGGAAACCCUGAUCCAGCGAUGCCGCGUGAGGGAAGAAGGCUUUCGGAUUGUAAACCUCUGUGGAGGGGGACGAUAAUGACGGUACCCCUUUAGGAACCAACGGCUAACUACGUGCCAGCAGCCGCGGUAAUGCGUCGGUCGCGAGCGUUGUCCGGAAUUAUUGGGUGUAAAGGGAGUGUAGGCGGGAAAGCAAGUCAAGAGUGAAAACUAUGGGCUUAACCCAUAGCCUGCUUUUGAAACUGGUUUUCUUGAGUGAAGUAGAGGCAAGCGGAAUGCCUAGGGUAGCGGUGAAAUGCGUAGAUAUUAGGCGGAACACCAGUGGCGAAGGCGGCUUGCUGGGCUUUUACUGACGCUGAGGCUCGAAAGCGUGGGGAGCGAACAGGAUUAGAUACCCCUGUAGUC
rnacentral:rRNA from 1 species